UUUAGAUAAUGUUUUUAGAUAGUUUAGUCUUUUUGUUUAUUUAUUUAUUUUACCUUAUUUAAGCUUAGAGUAACGAGUGGACCAGAGAUUAAAUAGUCCUAGAAAUUUGAUUGUACAUAGAGGAUGAUUAGUUAGUCCAAGAAAAUAACAUUAUCGUUAUCUUUAUGCAUUCAAGAAUCUCGCAAGCUCCUGAACACAAAUUCCUCAAAGUGAAAGCGCUAUAAACAUAAAACAUCCCAAGUGUUAAUUACUAAGAAGUUCGUAAACCAUUCAGUAUGUGGUCAUUUAAUUUACUUCUUGCAUAUUUGAUCAUAUAUAUACUCUUUUAGUGAAUACUAGUUACUAAGCUACUCACAAGUUAGGCCAUAACAAAGAUAAUCACACAUUUUGUCGAUUGUAUGAUGAUACUCACACAUAUAUCAACAAUCACAUAUUUAAAAAUGUAUUCAAUCAAUUCAGUAUUAUGUAAAAGAUUCAUCUGAAAAAGAAAAUUAAAAAAGUUGGAUAUUGUAUGUUGAGAAUUGAUAGUCACAUAUAUAUACAUAGGUAAAAAAGUAAAAUAGUAAUAGAAGUCUCGUUACCCCAUUCAACCAAAAAGAUAUAAGUGGGUGUGCUAUUCAUACAACACUGUCCCAGUUUAGAUAUAAAAGAUCACAUAGUCCAUCUCGGAGCAGUACCCACCACUCUCAUUCGGUGAAAAAAGGAAAACAACCACAAGAAGAGAUCGUAAUACCUAUUUUACCCCUGCCAACCUGUCAUCUGCGGACCGACCAGAAUAGUAGUGGGCAUGGAGCUUUGAACUCUUUUGAAACUUUGUGGGCCCUUUGUGUACCGCUUGUCUCUUCGUUCAAGAAGACCCGAUAAGUAAAAAGGGCAUUCACCCGACCCGGUAAUUGAAAUUUGUAUCCAACCGAGCUGACUCGGUAAGUAAAAAAUCAUCCACCCGAACCAAACCGGAAUGUAAAAAUGGAAUCCACUGUCCAAAACCGAAGCGGGUCAAUUAAACUCAACUCGGAUUAUCUGGCCGAUCCGGCCUAUCUUUCUUGGAUUCGAUCACCAACGUCAGAAGCAAGCUCCGGAAAGAGUGAAAUUUGAAGAAUGACAGCUGGCAGACGUUCAUUGGUUGAUCAUUAAAGUCGUUACAAGUAGUUAUAGAAGAAACAUAGUAUAAAACAGAGACAUUGUAAUCUUUUUUCAUCCAAACGAAACCAUUGUAAACUUUUCUCAAGUCUAAUACAAUUCUCUUGGUGUUCUCUUUGAAGAUCCUUCUCUCUUCGAGAUAUUCUGCAGGUGAGCUAAGGUUCUUUGUUAAUUCAACUUUUGCUAGGUACCGUGAGGCUAUAGGGUUGCACAUUGAUGCGUUUUGGAAAAAGAAUAGUCUUGUUUUGUUUGGAGCUGGUGGUGUUUUUGUAUGUUUGGAGGAUUAUGUUUGGAAUUGCAAGCACAUUUGUUGGUCUCUCAGAGGGCACGGCCAAGUAUAGGUUUCUAGCUCUCUCCUCAGCCAUAGUAGCUUUUUCUGUAAGUUUUGCUGUUUAUCUGCUUUCAUUGUUUGCUCGAUUUCUUAGGACUGUGCAAUACAUUCCCGGUUGGUUUUGGAAACUACUGUUAUAUGCAAUGAUAUUGGUUUGGUUUCACCUGGACUUGAGCUGUAGGAAGGUUCUGCUAGUAGUAGUAAUGCAGUAUAUUUUUUAUGCAUGGCUAUUCGGUUUUGGUUAUAUAGAUUUAAGAACUGUUUGGGUAUUUAUAAAUUUUGGUUUGAUUUUGGUUUGGUUCGGACAGUAAAGUUGGGGACCAGCUAAUAUCCAAAAAAAUCUGGGUCCAAUUUGAUUCCUGAUUUUUGGGUAAUUUUGGAUAAUAUGAUUAAAAAUCGAAUAAUUUGGGGUUUUCAAGUUAGACAUCUGGUUGUUUAGAAAAAAAUCUUGUGCAAUUCAGAUCAUUUUAAAUACUUGAAUAACAAAAUAUUCUGAUAAUUCGGCUUUUCGGAUAGUUCGGUUUAUAAAUGUGCCCAAACCUAGUUUAUAGGAUGCAAAAAUUGCUAUAUGAGAUGGUUUUGUUUGCUGUGACACUCUCCUACUAUCAUAUCAUAAGAAAUCACUCCUUAUUUUCUAUUGAUAAGGACUAUACCACUUUCUAGUGACUUCUUAUGAUAUGAUAGUAGGAGAAUGUCACAGCAAGCGUUGCUUACGAGCUUAUGUGAUGUCAGGUAGUGGCAUUACAUUCAAGAAAUUCAAGCCAACAGUUUAGAGCAAGCGUUGCUUUCUCCUAUUCCCUGUUCAAGGUUCUGAGAGAAAGGGACUUGUUACCGCCGAAAUUAAGAAGAAAGGCCAGGUAUGAAGAAGGGUACAAAGUCGGUGGUGAUUUAAUCUCUGUGUUAAGAGACCCUGUUGUAAAGCCAUGACAGCAACCAAGGAGUUUGAUAAUCUUGAUAGUAUCGAAGAGGGAGAAGACGCUGAAAGAGAACUUCAAGAAGCUGAAAGAAAGCACCGUGAAGAGAUUGAGAAGCUCGAGAAAGAGAGCUCUUAAUUCGUUUUUUUUUUCAUCUUCUCUGGUAAACGUUUCUUCACAUCUUCAAUAUCUCAUCAGUGGAUAUAAUAAGAACAACACAUGACGACUUAUAAAAUUCAGAAUACAUCAUCAAACCAGAAUAAUGCAGAAUAUAUCAUGUUUGAAUAUUAUUUUUUAUUCCUAGUUUUGAGAGAGAGUACAUAAUUCAUGUUGAAUUAAAUUUAAGAUUAAUUAGUGGACACAUGACGACUUAUAAAAUUUGUCCUACAGCAACAGAAAGGAUUUUUCCUUUCCCUUGGUACACAAACUCCCCCCAAUUUGAAUCCGAGAGAUUCACAAUGAGCAGUGCAAUCCUUGUCCUUAGGACAAGUGCCAUAAUCAUGUGGUUCACAGUCUUUCUCACCUGUUUAGCUCAUAAAAGUUAAUAACAUAUAUUUUUGAUCAAAAAAGUUAAUAAUAUUUUAAAAUAAGAAAAGAAUACAAUAUACUAAUAACUUGCAAUAACAUAAAAAUAUAAAACGCAAAUAAAGACAAAACAUCUUGCAUCUACUGAUUCUUAUUUAAAAUAUUUUUUUGGGAUUUUAAGAUAAAGAUUUAUUUUGUUGAAAGGGUUUAAAAGAUAAUACCUGAAACUCUAGAGAUAAAUGUGAGAGUAAGCAUAACCAUCAACAAAGG